GUUAUAAAUUUAUAAUAGAAUUUUAUUUUUUAGUCAAAAAGCUAAAAUAUAUUUAAAAGACGAGAAGACCCUAUAAAUCUUUAUAUUUAGGUUAUUAUAAUUUUAUAGAUUUUUUUUGUUAUAAUAAUUGAUAAUAUUUUAUUGGGGUGAUAUUAAAAUUUGAUAAACUUUUAAUUGUUUAAAUCAUUAAUUUAUGAAUAAUUGAUCCGUUAUUAGCGAUUAAAAAAAUAAGUUACCUUAGGGAUAACAG
rnacentral:rRNA from 1 species